rnacentral:rRNA from 1 species
AUUGAACGCUGGCGGCAGGCCUAACACAUGCAAGUCGAACGGUAACAGGAAACAGCUUGCUGUUUCGCUGACGAGUGGCGGACGGGUGAGUAAUGUCUGGGAAACUGCCUGAUGGAGGGGGAUAACUACUGGAGACGGUAGCUAAUACCGCAUAACGUCGCAAGACCAAAGAGGGGGACCCUCGGGCCUCUUGCCAUCGGAUGUGCCCAGAUGGGAUUAGCUUGUUGGUGGGGUAACGGCUCACCAAGGCGACGAUCCCUAGCUGGUCUGAGAGGAUGACCAGCCACACUGGAACUGAGACACGGUCCAGACUCCUACGGGAGGCAGCAGUGGGGAAUAUUGCACAAUGGGCGCAAGCCUGAUGCAGCCAUGCCGCGUGUAUGAAGAAGGCCUUCGGGUUGUAAAGUACUUUCAGCGGGGAGGAAGGGAGUAAAGUUAAUACCUUUGCUCAUUGACGUUACCCGCAGAAGAAGCACCGGCUAACUCCGUG